rnacentral:rRNA from 1 species
AUUGAACGCUGGCGGCAGGCCUAACACAUGCAAGUCGAACGGAGCGGCGGACGGGUGCGUAAUGCCUAGGAAUCUGACUGGUAGUGGGGGAGAACGUCCGGAAACGGGCGCUAAUACCGCAUACUAUCAGAUGAGCCUAGGUCGGAUUGGCUAGUGGGUGGGGUAAAGGCCUACCAAGGCGACGAUCCGUAACUGGUCUGAGAGGAUGAUCAGUCACACGGGAACUGAGACACGGUCCAGACUCCUACGGGAGGCAGCAGUGGGGAAUAUUGGACAAUGGGCGAAAGCCUGAGGCAGCCAUGCCGCGUGUGUGAAGAAGGCCUUCGGGUUGUAAAGUACUUUCAGCGGGGAGGCGUUACCCGCAGAAGAAGCACCGGCUAACUCCGUGCCAGCAGCCGCGGUAAUAC